rnacentral:rRNA from 1 species
UACGGAGGAUCCAAGCGUUAUCCGGAUUUAUUGGGUUUAAAGGGUGCGUAGGCGGCCUAUUAAGUCAGGGGUGAAAGACGGUAGCUCAACUAUCGCAGUGCCCUUGAUACUGAUGGGCUUGAAUACACUAGAGGUAGGCGGAAUGUGACAAGUAGCGGUGAAAUGCAUAGAUAUGUCACAGAACACCGAUUGCGAAGGCAGCUUACUAUGGUGUUAUUGACGCUGAGGCACGAAAGCGUGGGGAUCAAACAGGAUUAGAUACCCUGGUAGUCCACGCCCUAAACGAUGAAUACUCGCUGUUAGCGAUAUACAGUUAGCGGCUAAGCGAAAGCAUUAAGUAUUCCACCUGGGGAGUACGCUCGCAAGGGUGAAACUCAAAG